UAUUGCCUUUGCUGAAGCUAUAACAAACCCAGGAGUAACUGAGGUUCACCCAAGAUUUCAGAUCCACCCAACCAAAGCAGGAUAUAUGUAUGAGUCAGCAUUCUCAGAUCUGUUUUAAGUCAAAUCAUUUCUUAGAUGGGGAUUUCAUUCCAUUCAAUUCAAGCAUUUUUUUAAUUUGGUAAAGUGCAAGGCACUGUGCUAAGGAAGAGAGAGGCACACUCUACUGAGCCACUGUAAUUGUCCAGGACACUAACAAUCUAAUAGGGAAAUAUACGUACAUAAGACAUACUUAAAUAAGUAUGAUGCAAAAAAGACUUGUAAGUAAGACAAAAUAAACAAAAAUGUUCUAAGAAACACAAAGGAACAGAUUAAAUUAGGCUGGGAAGGUAGCACUGGAUUUGCUCCUGUAAGAGUCGAUAGGAUUGCAAGAGAAGAGAGAAGACAUGGGCUGUUGACAUGGGCUUGAUUCAAGCUGCUCCCAGCUGUAGAACCUCUCUCCUGUUUCCACUGUGUCCCUUUCAGUUUUCUCUUCCUGGGCUGCUAAGUUUCUGGGCACGCCCAGAGGAUCUUCAGACUUCACAAACCGGUCGUGCAGAGCCUGGCAUUUCAGUAAGAAACAAAAUGCUGAGUAACAACAACAUGAAGUCAAUCUGUCUCUUGCCAAGACCUGGGAGGCCUGGGUGGUUUCCCAAUCUUAAAGAGGCAGAAGGAUAUUAAAGCCAGCUCCCUGGGGGAAAACCUGGAUGGAUUUACCAACACAGAAAACGCUGUGCACUAAUCCAAUUCGGUUUCCACCUCUGGAUGGUUGAAUCCGCAGAUGCAGAACCAUGAAUACGGAGGACCAACUGUAUUAAAAAGGAUAUUGACAUGAACACCAGCAUAAAACAAGGCAUCUCUGAAUGUUUUUCAACCCAGAAGAGUGUCUUUCUACCAUGGCCAUAGCGUGUGCAUCUUUCUACAUCUGUCCUCAAAUUCCUGGCAACAUGAUUGUGCUCUGAGUAAAAUCCCCUUAGUGUGUUGUGUUGAGCUUACCCAUAUGUGUAUCUGUGGGACUUUCUGUUUAUUUAAAAUUUGCCUUAAGACCUUAAAGAACUCUGAGCAACAGUGCCUGAGGAGCUCAUUUCCUAACCCAAGGAGCAUGGCAAACCAACCGGGUUAUGAAAGAGCAGUGGAGCGUCCCAGACUGUCCCUGUUGUUUGGGGAAGUGCUCUCUGAGGGUCACAGUCCUGGGAUGGCAGCCAGAUGAGAAACAUAAGCUCUGAAUUUCGAAGCAAAGUUUUUAUUUCUUUCAAAACAACUAUCACUAUAUGACAUAAGCUUAAUUUCAAGGCCAUUUGGGCCUUGCUGGCAAUAGUAUAAUUCCUGGAUGAAAUAAGGUUUGGAGAAAUUUGAAAAAUCUAAUAUAUUAUAUGACCUUGGACAAAUCACUUAACCACACCAAACUGUUGUUAUUUUAUGAAUAACAAUAAUAAUUAUAUUAGAUUAUUAACAUAGUAAUCCCCCCACCAAAGUAUUGCAAUACUAUUAAAUACAUGUAAGAAAAAUAACUACUUAUCAUCCUCUAUUUGGUCAAAGAAUUUUUGUCACUUACUAAGAUGGUUUUAGCAAGACUUUUAAUUGAGGGGUCAGAAAGUUACUCACACUAAUGAGGGAACAGAACUCUAUAAUCUGUAAUAUCCUAGCUGGCUACAGUGUUCUACCACUCUAGAUCUUACUGUCUCUAGACUCCUUUUUUUUCUUCCUUGGGUUGUUCCUUAAUUCUGGGCAUUUUACUGUUCAUUGUCUCUCCCUCUAAAGGUUGGCAAAGGAAAGUAACAGCAAUUCUGAUAAACAGAGCAAAUAUAAAUGGAAAUGCACCAAAGCCAGCUCUGUUAUAUUCAGUAGAAAAUCAUAUAUUGAUCAAAUGGCACUAUAACUUGGGAGGCAAAAUGGAAUGGUAGCUAGAACAUAGGCUCUGGAGUCCAGAGUGGGAAAUUCAUGCCUUGAAAAUUAUUCUGUACUGGCCACUUGACCCUUAACAAAUCAUGCAACCUCAGAGACUUCGUCUAAAAACUUUGGGUGGUAAUAGUACAUACUGUCUAAGAUUUGGGAGAAGUAAAUUAUAUUACCCAUAUAGUGGGUGUGAAAGAAUUUCAAUCUAAAAUAGAAAGGAAGGAUAUAAAAUGAAGAAUCUCACGCAUUUGCCCUCAGGAAGACAAAAUUUAGGGACUAAGAGACCGAUUUCCCACAAAUGCCUGACUUACAGAAAACGGAUAGUGUCAGAAUUUUCUCAGAUGGUGGGGGUGGGGUGGGUGUUUGGUUGAUCAGAGGUUGUCUGUUACCAAUCUCGGGAAAUUCUGCUACAGGUAUGAAUAGAAGGUGACCCAGGUCAGGUUGAUCUAACAGACUGGGCUGACCUGAGCUUUGUAUGUGUGACUGGACUGACGGUGUCUGCUCGAGAAGUUUUCAAGUCUGGUUUCUGUUUGUUUUUGAUUCUGACUGACUAUAACUGAACUCUCCCCUCUUUACAUGCCCUGCCCAUAAAUACAACCUACGCCAGACCCUCAACAGACUCGCCUAUAGCUUGCUACAGUUUGCUUGUCUUGAAUUGCAAUUCCUCUGACUACUCCUGAAUAAACUCUUUUUUUUUGACCUUGCCUCAGUUUACCUCUUUAUUUAGGUCAGCAUGGUCAAUGUCCUAAAUAUUACCUAUUACUAUUAAGUGAUACUAUUAUGAGAUAUCUUUAUGUAUCAACAACAAAAGAAUUCCCCUAAUUUGAAGGUCCAUUUAGUUCCAGCAAUACCUGAUCCCAUGGAAAUCUAGCACAAUGGGACACCCCUGGAAUGACUAUAACAGGAUUAAGUCUGUUUCCAGGUCGUUUCAGUAGGAAACUUGAGACUUCAUUAUCUGUUUGUCAAUGUGUUAUUUAAUCCAUAGUUCCCUCACAGUCCCUAACUACUUUUCUUUUGUCCUCUUCCGGUGUCUUUAACAGCCCUGUGACUUUGAGGCUUUGCUCCCUUCCCGAUUCACAGUUCAUUUUCAUCAGCACUCCUGUUUCCUGUUUUGCCCCCCCGUCUAGGUUGUUUUGCACCUCUAACUCCUUCCCCUUCCUCUUCAGAGGACAUCAGCAACAUUUCCACUAGGGAUGGGCAAUGCCACCAGCUUCUCUUGCUGUAGCUUUUCCUCUUCUUUCUUUUUCUUUUUUUAACCUCCUUUGAACCUUCCUAAGCUUCCUGUAAUAACUACAUCUCUGUUUCAGCUAUUUCAGUACUUCUGGGGCUUUAGAGUUUGAUCUGGAUUCACGUCUUCUCGCCGAAACCAUCUCAAACAAGUAGUUUGAGGUUUUUGCUGGAAGGUAAUUUGAAUUUGUUUAUAUGGCCGCCAACUCCCAAUUUAGAUGUCAUGAGACCUCUGGAGUGGAGGAGUGACCUUCCCAGAUUACCUUCCUCUUAUUAUCACUCAGUGGCAUUAUUAGUAGGGACGGACUGUUUUGUUCAUGACUCAACUUCGCUUCUUAUAUAAGUAAUUACUGCUAAAUCAGGAGAAUUAGGAAAGACUUUCAGUUCGGGAGGGUUGAUGAAGAGUUAACUAAACUCAACCAUAGAUAGAUAUGGCUAUAUUUCUAUGAUUUGAUAUACCUUCAUCACUAUGAAUGAUCACAUACACAUACAUGAGUGCACGCACUUAUACAAAAACACACAAUUACUCCUUUGUAAUAUUCCGGCAUCUUUUCUGCAAGGAAGACACAAAUUCAAACUGAAUAUGACAGAAUAACUCAGCUGCCAUGGCAGAUGACCAAUGACUUCUUCUGCUUCUUUUCUUUUUUUUUUUUUUUUUAAUUUUAUUUUUGGUCAUCACUACUUAGGUGAAGAGCAAAAAAGCCCAAAAUAUUUCUCAGGCUGCUGUCAAAUGAUUGAGGUCUGAGAUGUACAUUUAUUCAUUCAACAAAUAUUCACUGAGCACCAACUAUGUUCCAGGUGCUCAUAGCACAGCUACUUACAAAACAGACCAGACCCCCGCCAUCCAGAACCUUGUGUUCGGGUGGGUAAUCAUCAUUCAUUAUCAGCCACCCUGCUCAUUUGAUCAAAAUCCAAUGUUGUUUCAGAUUCCAAGAGGAGAAGGUUGAGGCGAGAACAGAGAUGGAGUUUAUCACGUGCCCCAUCGUGUGGUUUCCUAACAGGCCAAAUGCAACACAGACGGAGGCCAGAGGUCCCAGAGCUACCAGCUGCCAACUUCACCAUGCACAGAGGAGAUGGAGGGGGCCCAGCUGCAGAGGGAGAGGAUGACAGAGACACAGGAGCCAGGAGAGGAGGGGAAGGAGAGGAGAACAGCAAGAUAGGGGAGGGGAGGAAGAGACGAAGAAAGAAAGAAGAGAAGAAAUUUAAUCUAACCUCAAUGGAGCUAUGAUUGAAGCCAGCUGAUUCCUGAACUUCCUAGAUACUCAACAAAUUCCUUCUCUGUUCAAGCCAGUUUAAAUGAGGGACCUGCAACUGAGAGAGUCCCACCUAAGACAGUAGCUGAUGUUCCAUCGUUCAUUCAUUCAACAAAUGUCUAUCGCGUGCCUCCUAUAUGCCAGGUGCUAAACGUGUAUGGGGGGGGUGCACACGGUCCUUGCCCCUUUGCCCUCACAGAGCUUAUACCCUGGCUGGGGAAAUAAACAUUACACACAUUCCAUUUGAAUAUCUAUAUUCAAUUUUUCAUUUUAUGGAAGAAAAGAAUAGGGUACUGAGAAAUAGCACUAGAGGAGAAUGAGUUGAAAGUCUACAGUGUUGUUAGAAUAAUACUUAAAAUGGCAUGCGUGGAUUGAGUUUUGGCAGUGCAGAUGAGACAGCUUGGUGGAAAUAGAGAAAAAUUCAUUCAUAGUUUGGAGCCCAGGAGCCUCAUCCUAGCUCCAUCAAAAUCUGCCAUUUUUGAUUUUUUUCAUCAGUAUUUUAUAGUUUUCUGAGUACAGGUAUUUUACCUCCUUAGGUAGCUUUAUU